rnacentral:rRNA from 1 species
GUGCCAGCCGCCGCGGUAAAACGUAGGAGGCAAGCGUUAUCCGGAUUUACUGGGCGUAAAGCGCGUGCAGGCGGUUUGGAAAGUUGGAUGUGAAAGCUCCCGGCUUAACUGGGAGAGGUCGUUCAAAACUUCCAGACUAGAGGAUGGUAGAGGGAGGUGGAAUUCCGGGUGUAGUGGUGAAAUGCGUAGAUAUCCGGAGGAACACCAGUGGCGAAAGCGGCCUCCUGGACCAUUUCUGACGCUCAGACGCGAAAGCUAGGGGAGCAAACGGGAUUAGAGACCCCGGUAGUCCUAGCUGUAAACCAUGUAGACUUGGCGUCGGUGGGUUUAAAUCCAUCGGUGUCGAAGCUAACGCGAUAAGUCUACCGCCUGGGGACUACGGCCGCAAGGUUAAAACUUAAAGGAAUUGGCGG